GUGCACACUUCAGCAGCACAUAUACUAAAAUUGGAAUGAUACAAGGAAGAUUAACAUGACCCCUGAGCAACGAUGACACACAGACUCAUGAAAUGUUCCAUUAAAAA
ensembl:snRNA U6 U6 spliceosomal RNA